CGACCACCGCUGUCACCCGUGUUCUCCGAAAUCACCGUCUUCUACUCUUCCCCUUUCUUCACUUCACUCUCUGCCUCUUCUCCACCUCCACCUGUGAUGCUGCACCCACACGAGCAUGUCUGGACCACUGGAUCAAUGAUUCAAGGCCUCCUGUAGCAGCGAGCUUAUAAAAAUCCCAAACUCACGCUACGGGCACUGGCAGCGAUGCACCUCAUAAAGCAGAGCGAGAACUUUUGAGGGGGAUACGACUCCAGUCAUCCUUGCUCAGAACCUGCCCUUGAUGUUUGGAGGGCAAACACCGCAGACACUGACCAUUGUACUACUGUGAUAUUACUCCUUCAAUCUGCCAAGACACCACCACUGUCACCAAGACGACCCUUCAACAGAGACGUCAGAGGGGAACAUGAGCAAUUAACUGCCAAGAACAAGAAAAUGACUACACAUUAUUAGACUUUAUGCAAAAGCUGUCAGAGCCUCCUCCUGUUGUCAGUGAUUUCCUGUUACUCCACUGAGUGCUGUAUGUCAUAAAUGCUCUAAUGCCAGCAUCACUGUUAAUAAAGUAUGAACUAUUACAAGGGUUAA